rnacentral:lncRNA from 10 species
CCAGGGGCCAUGACGGGAUAGUCCGUGAAACCUUCACCCCCUAAUCUAUCCGUAGCUUCUCAAUAGCCCUGGGAGGCAGGGAUCUCAAAUGAUUACACCAAGCAGCCGGCAAGACCCGCUUUGGGUCAUUUAGAGAUAAAGAGGAAAUGUCCAGCUGUAACAGAAAAGAUAAAGGCAUCUAAGAAGAGAUGGUGGAGGUCUGAGACCCUGUUGCGUUACACGGUUGGUAAACUGGGGCAUCUCUAAAUGACAACAUUUCAGCUUCAGUAGAGGGAUGGAGUGAUGUGGCCUUUCACGUCUAUGAAAGAAAAGUAAAGAAGAGUUUGUGAGUAACAUUUCCUUCAGCACUCCUCAAAAUUUAGAAAAAUGAAGGCAAGAAACAAGAUGAAGAAGAAAGAAGAAAAG